GGACGUGGCUCAAAUGGUAGCGCACUCGCCUGGCAUGCGAGCGGCCUGGGUUCGACCCUCAGCACCA
rnacentral:tRNA from 1 species